UCCACGUUUUUUGCCAACGGCUUCUGUGC
rnacentral:piRNA from 1 species